GAAGGUAUAGCUUAGUGGUAGAGACAGUGCCUAGCAUGCAUGAGGUCCUGAGUUCAAUCCCCAGUAGCUCCG
rnacentral:tRNA from 1 species